rfam:Flavobacterium fryxellicola strain DSM 16209 FBFR06, whole genome shotgun sequence.
CAUUAGCCCCGAUUAAAGUGGAAAUCCUUUUUUGUUCUUUCUUUAAGAACAAAAAGAUUGCAACGGAAAGCGGGACAAAAA